UGCCUAAAUAAUUUCUUUUUAACUCGUAUAUCAUCACAGGUGUGCACCCUCAACCUUGGCAAAAUAAACUUUCUAAAUUAAAUGAGACCUUUCUCAAAUUUUGGGGUUUCAGAGGUGGAAGGAUCACUUGAGCCCAGGAGUAUGAGGAGCUAUAAUCAUGCCACCAAACUCUAGCCUGGGCAACAAAAUGAGAUCCUGUUUCUAAAGAUGCUUUAAAAUGUGUAAAUGUAGUAGACUCAUGAUUCAGGAAAAACCCAAGAAAAGUGUGAGGAAAGAUUGAAGAGACACCAACC
rnacentral:lncRNA from 10 species